rnacentral:rRNA from 1 species
GUGUCAGCAGCCGCGGUAAUACAGAGGUGGCGAGCGUUAUUCGGAAUUAUUGGGCGUAAAGGGCGCGUAGGCGGCUAGGCAAGUCUUGGGUGAAAUCCCUCGGCUCAACCGAGGAACUGCCUUGGAAACUGCCUGGCUCGAGGCCGGGAGAGGGUAGCGGAAUUCCCAGUGUAGCGGUGAAAUGCGUAGAUACUGGGAGGAACACCAGUGGCGAAGGCGGCUACCUGGACCGGUUCUGACGCUGAGGCGCGAAAGCGUGGGGAGCAAACAGGAUUAGAAACCCUGGUAGUCC